UGGCUUCCCACUCCAGCUGCCUAGUGAUGGGGGCAGUAGGAAGGAUAGCACAGCUGCAGUAGCUGCAGGGCCACUGUCAUGGUUUGACCAGGAAGAAGUUGGGAAUUUUGGGAAGCUGUGGUCAAACCAAUGAAGGUUUUGGGUUUGAGACUGGCGUCCGGUGUGGCCAGUGGGGUUUGGACACACCUCCGAGAAUACACAGGGGUUAAAAGCAGGGCACUGCCCUGGCAUUUCUUCUUUGGACCUCGUGGGACGAGGAGUUCAGAUCUCUCCCCCGUCCGGCCCGCUGCUGCUGGGCGGGGGAGGGGCCAGCCAUGCGGUAAGGCCUGGACAGAGAUGGUGUUGAGGGGGCUUCGGGGGGGCUCCAAGGAUGGAAGGGUGGGGGAGCCCCAAGAGACAUCGAGCAGCCAGCGAGAAGGGGGAGGAAGACUGCCCGGCCGCAGCGGCAGCGUGUGGGCAGCGUGCGUGGGAGCCGACCGACAGACAGAGACUGAAAACUUUUAACCCUUUCUUACAUGAUUGGGGCCUUGCGAAAAUGCUAAUCCUCCUCGAAGCUGAAUAAGAAGGGAGAUGAGAGAUGAUAUGAGAUAAGAACUUUGGCCCGGAGUUUGUGGAGAUGAUUGGAUGGGGAGAGAUGAUUUGGAGUGGCCUUUUGGCUGGACGUUUUCUUGUAGCCAUGGACUCAGUUGUUCCUUGACACAGACUGCAUUUAGGGGGAGGCAGUGCCUCAAAACCAGGAGGGUUCAUUUGUGAGGACCCCCCGGCCCCAGGGGGUUGGAAAUAUAUGGGGGGGACAGUUGUCCCAAAAGCAGAGACUGUGCCUUUUUGGAGUGAGACAAGGCAUCCUUGAAAGACCACCCUAAAAGCAGCUCUGGCCAUGUCUCGGUGGUGAGAGCACUGAGCAUGGAAGGAACAUGUCACAAGCGGCAAAUGGACUUUCCGGGCGGUGCCGACGUGACAAGGAAGCAUCCGGGAUUUCAGUGUGUUUCCAGAAGCCUAUGGAACAAGAAGGACUCCGUUCCUCUUCAUGAACUGCAGUUUGAGUAUACUAAAGUGUCGUGCCGGGCUGGGCAGUUGGUAUUUUUGAGAGAAUGUAUUGGAUUGGGAAAGUCAGGGAGUGGGGAGGAGGAAAAGUGGUUUUUGUAAGGUUUUCAAUUUUUUUUUUCUUUUCCUUAUAGUCUUUCCUAUUUUUUUUUCCCUGUAGUUUUAGGUAAUAAAGUGUUAUUUAUGUUUAAGUUGGAGCCUGUU
rnacentral:lncRNA from 1 species